UACGAAGGGGGCGAGCGUUGUUCGGAAUUACUGGGCGUAAAGGGCGCGCAGGCGGCCCUUGAAGUCAGGCGUGAAAGCCCCGGGCUCAACCUGGGAGGUGCGCUUGAUACUCGAGGGCUUGAGUGCGGGAGAGGAGAGUGGAAUUCCCAGUGUAGAGGUGAAAUUCGUAGAUAUCGGGAGAAACACCAGUGGCGAAGGCGGCGAUCUGGGUCGAUACUGACGCUGAGGUGCGAAAGCGUGGGGAGCAAACAGG
rnacentral:rRNA from 1 species